CUGAUCUUUAAUAAACAGCUUACACAUACGGCUUAUAUACAUAAUAAAUAAAAUCGAUCACGGUAAGGUGUCAUGGCGCUUGUAUAUUUUGAGGGGACAGUCAAACCAGCCGGAGGAAACCAUGACCCAGAAAGCGCCUCCCAUCGUCUACACAAAGCCAUACAAGGACUCGGAACCGACGAAAACGCCAUCAUCGAGGUGUUAGCCGGACACAUCAACUAUGAACGACAGGAAAUCAAGAAGAUGUACAAAACCAUGUUUGGACAGGAUUUGGUAGAGGACAUUAAAGGCGACCUAAGUGGGCUGUUCGAGAAGCUGUGUCUGUAUCUGCUGAUGCCGAGUCGUAUGUUUGAUGCCUUCUGUCUGCGUCAGGCCAUCGAGGGUCUUGGUACUGAUGAAGGACGGCUCAUAGAAAUAUUGUGCAGCAAAACAAAUGGUGAAAUCCAAUCUAUUAAAGAGGAGUAUCAGAAAUUUUACAACAGGUCCUUGGAGGAUGACGUAAGGAAAGACACUAGCGGCCAUUUCCAGCACAUACUGAUCAGCCUAUUGCAGGCCAACAGGAGCGAGGAGCAGGAGAUGGACGAUGCCAAGGUCCAAAAGGACGCCAAAGAUCUCUACGAGGCGGGGGAGAACAAGAUAGGGACCAACACCUCGGUGUUUAACGCAAUCCUAGCGUCCCGCAGUCCUCCCCAUCUCAAAGCAGUGUUUGAACAAUACAAAAAUAUCAGCCAGAUGGACAUAGAAGGAGCCAUCAAAGAUGAAACCAGUGGAAACCUGUGCAAAGCCUUUCUGGCAGUCGUAAGAUAUAUUAAGGACCCCAUGGAUUACUACGCGGAGUGUAUCAACAAGUGUAUCAAAGGUAUCGGCACCAACGACGAACGUCUGAUGCAGCUCAUCGUCUCGCGUUGCGAGAUUGACUUGAAGGACAUUGGAGAGGCUUACUUGAAGAAAUAUGGAGAGAGCUUACCCUUGGCAAUCAAAGGAGACACCAGCGGAGAUUACGGGAAACUUCUCGUGAAACUUGCCACUCCUACAGAAUAGCAUGGAUAGUGCAGACUUGCAAGGAAUUGCAUCGUUUUUUGCUCUGCACUGACCAUUUAUACUGAGCACGCUGGGCUUCCUGGGUUCUAAACAAACCCUUUAUUAGUUCAUGACUGGUUGGAAUUGCCUUUUCUGAACAUUUGGUUUUUGAAAGAUAUAACAUAGUACAUGCUGUAGCGUUGGUCUCGGAACUGUGAAAGGCUCAUUUCAGAAUAAAGAAAAUGUCAAACGU
rnacentral:misc_RNA from 1 species